rnacentral:rRNA from 1 species
AGUGAACGCUGGCGGUAGGCCUAACACAUGCAAGUCGAACGGCAGCACAGUAAGAGCUUGCUCUUACGGGUGGCGAGUGGCGGACGGGUGAGGAAUACAUCGGAAUCUACUUUUUCGUGGGGGAUAACGUAGGGAAACUUACGCUAAUACCGCAUACGACCUACGGGUGAAAGCAGGGGAUCUUCGGACCUUGCGCGAUUGAAUGAGCCGAUGUCGGAUUAGCUAGUUGGCGGGGUAAAGGCCCACCAAGGCGACGAUCCGUAGCUGGUCUGAGAGGAUGUUCAGCCACACUGGAACUGAGACACGGUCCAGACUCCUACGGGAGGCAGCAGUGUGGAAUAUUGGACAAUGGGCGCAAGCCUGAUCCAGCCAUACCGCGUGGGUGAAGAAGGCCUUCGGGUUGUAAAGCCCUUUUGUUGGGAAAGAAAAGCAGCAGGUUAAUACCCCGCUGUUCUGACGGUACCCAAAGAAUAAGCACCGGCUAACUUCGUG